AUUGAACGCUGGCGGCGUGCUUAACACAUGCAAGUCGUGCGGUAACAGGCGUAGCAAUACGUGCUGACGAGCGGCGAACGGGUGCGUAAUACAUGGGAAUCUGCCCUUUAGUGGGGAAUAACCCGGCGAAAGCCGGGCUAAUGCCGCAUAAGAUCUUCGGAUGAAAGCGGGGAGUCGUAAGACCUCGCGCUGAUGGAUGAGCCCACUGUCGGAUUAGCAGUUGGUGAGGUAACGGCUCACCAAGGCGACGAUCCGUAGCUGGUCUGAGAGGACGGCCAGCCACACUGGGACUGAGACACGGCCCAGACUCCUACGGGAGGCAGCAGUGGGGAAUAAUUGGACAAUGGGCGAAAGACCUGAUCCGG
rnacentral:rRNA from 1 species